rnacentral:rRNA from 1 species
UACGUAGGUGGCAAGCGUUGUCCGGAUUUACUGGGCGUAAAGAGCGCGCAGGCGGUCGUUCAAGUCGCGUGUGAAAGCCCCCGGCUCAACUGGGGAGGGUCGUGCGAUACGGUCGGGCUUGAGGCCAGUAGGGGGAUGCGGAAUUCCGGGUGUAGUGGUGGAAUGCGUAGAGAUCCGGAGGAACACCAGCGGCGAAGGCGGCUCACUGGACCGGCAUUGACGCUGAGGUGCGAAAGCGUGGGGAGCGAACAGG